rnacentral:rRNA from 1 species
CUCCCCGAAAGCUAUUUAGGUAGCGCCUCGUGAAUUCAUCUUCGGGGGUAGAGCACUGUUUCGGCUAGGGGGUCAUCCCGACUUACCAACCCGAUGCAAACUACGAAUACCGAAGAAUGUUAUCACGGGAGACACACGGCGGGUGCUAACGUCCGUCGUGAAGAGGGAAACAACCCAGACCGCCAGCUAAGGUCCCAAAGUCAUGGUUAAGUGGGAAACGAUGUGGGAAGGCACAGACAGCCAGGAUGUUGGCUUAGAAGCAGCCAUCAUUAAAGAAAGCGUAAUAGCUCACUGGUCGAGUCGGCCUGCGCGGAAGAUGUAACGGGGCUAAACCAUGCACCGAAGCUGCGGCAGCGACACUAUG